CGCGGUUAUACAAUUAGGGUGGGUUAAUUUUUUUUGAGUUAUAUUUAAGUUUGUUUUUAAUUUUUAAAAUUAAAAUUUUUAGGUGGAAUUAAUUUUUUUAAUCAUUAAUUUUAUUUGAUUGAAUAUGAAGAUUUUUAUUAAAACUAGGAUUAGAUACCCUAUUAUUAUAAAUUGUUAAUUUUACUCUUAACACUAUUAGUUAUGUUCUUUAAAUUAAAAGAAUUUGGCGGUAAUUUAGUCUUUUCAGAGGAACCUGUCCUAUAAUUGAUAUCCCACGAUAAAUUUUACCUUUUUAUGCUUAUAUAUCUCUGUUAUUGGAUUUCUUAGUAGAGAUCUUCUAUGAUUUAUAGGUAAAUUUAAAUCAGGUCAAGGUGUAGUUAUAUAAAGGAAAGAGAUGGGUUACAAUAUAAUAUAUAUUUGAAUAUAAAUAUGGAAUAUUUUAUUGAAAUUGGAUUUGAUAGUAAUUUUUAUUAUAUUAUAAUUUUGAUUUUAGCUCUAAAUUAUGUACAUAUCGCCCGUCACUCUCGUUAUUAAAAUGAGAUAAGUCGUAACAAAGUAAAUCAACCGGAAGGUUGAUUUGGAAUGA
rnacentral:rRNA from 1 species